CCGAGGUUCCCUUCCCUGCCUACCUGCUGCCUGAGGGUUUUUCUGGAACGGUCAGAUUUUUAUUAUUUGUUUUUUCCAGUAUCAUGGGCAUAAAAUGGUAUCUAAAAAAGUAUUGAAGCAGCGUUGUUCAUCUGGGGUAACACCUGAGAACACUUGUUGUCUUAUGCCAAGGAAAUCAAAGACACGGACACACCUGGAGUGAGGUUAAGAGCAGAGGUUUAAUAGGCGAAAGAAAGAGAAAAGAGAAUAGCUCUCUGCAGAGAGAGAGAGGGGUGCCUGAGUAGGUCUGCUGGUUUCGUGGUGAAGUUGUGUCCAGGGGAAGAACAUGUAGGAUUCCUGAACCUUUUAACCAGGGUCUACUAGGGAUCCAAGAUCUGAAAACUGUUGUGAUGAGACUCCCACAGGUUUGAAGAGGCUGAGUUCCAAUCAAACACAGGGUUUUAUAGAUGAGCUUGAGGAGGUGGUGUCUGAUUAACACAGGGCCCAAAGAUGGUUGGACCAGGUGUGCCAUUUACAUAGCCUGUGAAGAAGCUGGCCACCCCACCCUAGUCUUUUAUUAUGCAGAUG
rnacentral:lncRNA from 1 species